rnacentral:Y_RNA from 1 species
GGCUGGUUCCAAGGUAGUUGAGUUAUCUCACCUGUUCAUCCAAGCAGUUAUAGAUUGAAUUCUUUGUUUUACUCUUUCCCCCUUCUCACUACUGCACUUGACUAGUCAUAA